rnacentral:rRNA from 1 species
CCAAUAGCGUAUAUUAAAGUUGUUGCAGUUAAAAAGCUCGUAGUUGAAUUUCGAGAUCAAUUUGUCGGUCGUGCCUCGGUACGUACUGGCAUUACUGGUUUCUCCCUUCUGAAGAAUCGCGAUGUCAUUAAUUUGGUGUCGUGGGGAAUCAGGACUGUUACUUUGAAAAAAUUAGAGUGUUUAAAGCAGGUGCACGCUUGAAUACAUUAGCAUGGAAUAAUGAAAUAGGACGUUUGAUUCUAUUUUGUUGGUUUCUAGGAUCGACGUAAUGAUUAAUAGGGAUAGUUGGGGGCAUUAGUAUUCAAUUGUCAGAGGUGAAAUUCUUGGAUUUAUUGAAGACUAACUACUGCGAAAGCAUUUGCCAAGGAUGGUUUCAUUAAUCAAGAACGAAAGUUAGGGGAUCGAAGACGAUCAGAUACCGUCGUAGUCUUAACCAUAAACUAUGCCGACUAGGGAUCGGAUGAUGUUAAUUUUUUAAUGACUCAUUCGGCGCCUUACG